UUGGAGGGCAAGUCUGGUGCCAGCAGCCGCGGUAAUUCCAGCUCCAAUAGCGUAUAUUAAAGUUGUUGCAGUUAAAAAGCUCGUAGUUGAAUUUCGGGAUCAAUAUGUUGGUCGUGCCUUGGUACGUACUGGCGUCAUUGGUUUCUACCUUCUGAAGAACCUCGAUGUCAUUAAUUUGGUGUCUUGGGGAAUCAGGACUGUUACUUUGAAAAAAUUAGAGUGUGUAAAGCAAGCUCACGCUUGAAUACAUUAGCAUGGAAUAAUGAAAUAGGACGUUUGAUUCUACUUUGUUGGUUUCUAGGAUCGACGUAAUGAUUAAUAGGGAUAGUUGGGGGCAUUAGUAUUCAAUUGUCAGAGGUGAAAUUCUUGGAUUUAUUGAAGACUAACUACUGCGAAAGCAUUUGCCAAGGAUGUUUUCAUUAAUCAAGAACGAAAGUUAGGGGAUCGAAGACGAUCAGAUACCGUCGUAGUCUUAACCAUAAACUAUGCCGACUAGGGAUCGGAUGAUGUUAAUUUUUUAAUGACUCAUUCGGCGCCUUACGGGAAAC
rnacentral:rRNA from 1 species